AAGGAAAGGUUUCAGAGCAUCCUGUAUGUGACAGCGAAUUCCUGAACAAAGUCCUGCAUGCUUUGAGGCAGUCAGGAACAAAAUGUAAGCUGCGACUGGAAAGAGGUGACGUCAGCACAUUAGUCAGCUUCCCUAUGCUAAUUACCAGUGCUCGGGAGGAUGGAAAAAACAGCUGAGGUUUGCACAGCAGCUGCUUUAUCGAGCCUCUUGCAGCAUAGUUUCCACUGGUAGUAAUUCCAUUCAGCGCUCAGACAACAUGCUCUUCACUGGAAUGGGACAACCCAUCUUAAGAUGGAAAAUGUUACAGCUAAAGGACCAAAGUCUAGAGUAAUAGGCUGUAAUUAGCCAGGAGGAAAAUUUCAAGACUUCAGAACGGAAAACAAAUCCCUCAGGAGCUUCAUCAGAAAUCUGCUGGCAAGGUUUUAAGAGACAACCUGAACUACCAACAGCAGGGAUGAGCUCCCAGGAAGAUGGGAUGCAGUGGCUAUCCAGCCACUCAACACUGCCGAGAUGUGGACUGGGCACACAUACAGUGAGAACAGGUCUGAGUUCCCAAGCUCCUGACCCGUACCCAGAAACACAGAUGCUUAAGAAGGGAUUCAUAAACGACCAUCAUGCCAAGCAGUGAACCACCUGAGCUCACACAGAAAAUCAUGCCGAGUAUGUCUUGAACCCUGCCCUUGCCCAGGAAUUAGGUCGUCAAGUGUCUUAAGGACUUCGGAAGUAGAAGCACGAAGCAUGACUCCAUAGCCCAGCAGUCAGGAUGCUCAUCUGGAAAACAUGGCCAUGAAUCACCUGAGCAUAAAAGGAAAACAGGCUUUCCACAUCCUAGGUGAAUGCUACAGCUACUGAUAAGAAAGUAAAGAAGGUCCUCCCUAGAACCUGCUAAUGAGUCAGAGUCAUUUGACAUACUCUGAGGCUACCAAGGUGACUGCAGCAUCUCUGUGGGUGACAGGUGGAAAGAAUAUUUCUUCUGUAGAGCCUCAUAGGGCCUACACAGGAGGCACUUUGAGCUGCUCAACAGAAUGAAGCCUUUGGCAGCCUAGCUGUAGACCUUUAUAUAGCUAAGCGUGUCAAAGCUUCCUAGCAGUCCAGUGACUGUAAAAGUCUUCAAAAGCCCUAUUUGGUACUUCACAGCUUAAAGUAGGACAAGUAGGUCCUAGGUACUUGCACCCCUUUGUAACUCUAGACUUGCAUUUUUAUGCCCAGAUACCACAAAGAGCAAGACAUUAAAAAUACCUCUGAUUGCUAUCCUCCAGGCCACCUACACAUUACUGAGACCCAAGGAAAAUGACUUUACAAGGUCUUACUACAGCCAUCUUUCAAAUAUACUUUGUCAUCUAAAACAGGACUAUAGCCUGCUGUAUUACUGUGUUAGAUGUAAACAAACCAACUAUUUUUGAGAACAUUCAACACCUCACAAAACAAUUUUUUCACAUUGUGUUCUCCAGAUUUAAAAUAAACAUUGAGUCUUUUACUGAUAAACAUUAAGUUUUUACUCUGUCUGUUUAAAAAGGCAAAGAAAAUAAACCAGUCCUAGUCUAUUCCAUUUUAUCAUUAUCAUCAUUAUUUUUGGUAAGGUUGUAUCACCAGGCACUCUUAAAGAAACAACUCAGGCAAAAAAAGAUGGUUGCAUACUAACGGUCCAUUCACAACAUGGAAUAAACUGAGAACUAGUAUUCUGGGAAAAAUAAAUCACUUUGAAUUGGUCUAAUGUCCUUACUGCUAUACUUGAUUAGAACAAAACUGCAGUCUGCAACGUCUCAAUUCGUAGAUUAAAUAAACUACCUCGAAUUAAAAAAAAAACCCAAACAGAAAGACUUACUUUCUCAAAAGAAAAAAAAAUUUCACUACCCCUUCUUCAUUUAAUGAAGUGUUAUUCAGGCAGCAGCAUUACGUUGAGAGCCCUGAGAUCUACUGUAGAAACCAAGAGUCAAAGUUUCAAAACCACCAUUACAAAAUCCUGACAGUGUUGCAAUGUUUCUUCUGUGGUGUUCAUGUCCCGUAACAUUUGUUAACCACAUGCUAACGAACUGUCUGGAACAAGAGCACAGCAAGAUUAUCAAAACUUCUUGGUCUGAUGUUCUGAUACUAUCAGAGCAGUUUUUCUUCUCUCUUGUCUUCAGAGAGUUUGCUGCUUCUGUCUUCUCUGAGACUCCCUAGUGACCUACAGAAAGAGAACACGGUCAAGGAGAUCACCUGCUUAAUGAUAUAUGCUGUCAUCCAGAUACCAAAAAGUGUCUGAUACUAAAGAACACAAACUUCAUCAGUGCAACGGGAUGCUGCUGUGCUCUGGGUAACAAGAAUCAGGGAAAUCAGACGGCCUUUACUCCUAUUAGAUAUGUCCGACUAUUCAGAAAUAACGUGGCUGACCUUCCACGCCAACACCACUGCUCAGCAUAACCGUUCCCAGCGCUGUGCCAAUUCCUCAGUGCCACAAGCAGCAGGAUCUCCUGCCAGAGAGCUGCCCCGGGGCCUGAAAGGGACCUCGACUCCUCUGCUGAUACUGCCUCAGCUUUUGGACGACAUCAGCACAAACUGCCGACAGCUUACCUGGAAGUGGCUGCAUUGUGUUGCCAUUUCGAAGCACUGAAGUGUUGCGACUGGCUUUUGUUCUCCUGUUAUUUGGCUUUCACAGGAUCCUUUACCUUGUACUUAAAGCUUAUACUUUGGCAAUUCUAAGGACAAGAUGAUGGUGCAACUGUCCUCCAAAUAAUUAUGGUUAAACUACAGUCCCAAACACUGAGCUGCAGGAGUUUAAACCAGGUUUAGUCUAGGAAAGGGAGACAUGGAAGCAAAGACAGCACAGAUGCACAGAUUUAAAUAACUUCUACUUUCCAAUUUACAAUCAACCACUAAGUGAUCAAAGUUAAUUCUUAUCACUCCAUCUGUUUCUCCUAUAAUCUGGGAUUUUUAAAAUUCAUUUAUUUAGAAGUGAUAUUAGACUUUACUUUUUAAAGCAUCACAUGCCUUCUGUUUCCUUACUCACCAUGGCAUUUAAAAGAAUGGAUCUACUACAAAUAACAUUAAUAGCCGAUUAACUGUGGGAAAGAAACACCCCUCAAGAAAUUGACACCAGUGUAAUCUGUUUCCCAGACCAAAGAACUCUCUGAAUAGCAUCAAUUCAGGUCCCAGCUAUGUUAUAUAAGACUCUUCUUCAUCACCCUGUAUUGCAAAUUACAAUGGAGCUUGACUGGUCAGUAUUUCUGUUUACUUCCUGCACUGACGACUUCUACAAGGAAUCUACUAUGAGACAGUUACUAAAAUAUUCUUAAUUUAACAAAAGUUCACUGUUAAAUAAAAAGCUAGAUCAGAACACUUUCAGAAAUAAAAGCUUCAAAAUCAGUGUGGUGCUCUGUAGCACCUGAACUUGUGUGCAUUAUGGAGGGGAAAAACAGACU